rnacentral:rRNA from 1 species
AGUGAACGCUGGCGGUAGGCCUAACACAUGCAAGUCGAACGGCAGCAGAGUAAGAGCUGGCGCUUACGGGAGGCGAGGGGCGGACGGGUGAGAAAUACAGCGGAAUCUACGUUGUCGGGGGGGAUAACGUGGGGAAAGUUACGCUAAUACCGCAUCGUACCAACGGGAGAAAGCAGGGGAUCUUCGGACCUUGCGCGAGGGAAUGAGCCGAUGGCGGAUUAGCUAGUUGGGGGGGUAAAGGCCCACCAAGGCGGCGAUCCGGAGCUCGUGUGAGAGGGUGUGCCCCGACACUGGAACAGAGACACGCUCCACACUCCCCCGCGAGGCGGAGGUGGGGAGUAUUGGACACUGGGGGCACACGUGAUCCAGCCCUACCGCGCGGAUGAAGAAGGCCUUCGGGUUGUAAAGCCCUUUUGUUGGGGAGGAAGAGAAGCAGGUUAAUACCUCGGCGUUUUGACGUUACCCGAAGAAUAAGCACCGGCUAACUCCGUG